CCAGAGUGGACAGGGACUUAAGGACUUAGUGGCAGAACUCCAACAAGAACUUGGGUCUCCUGGCUCCAGGUUCACUCUGAAGGGGAUUU